GCGGAGAGCACUGGCGGGGAGCGUGGGUGGGGGGUGCUGGUGGGAACCUCUGCCCCAGCUCAUUCCCGUUCCCUAGCCUGACCUCAAGGUCCAACAGCUGGCCAGGGAGCAGCAACAGUGUCACAGGGAGGUCAUUAAGGACGCAGAGGACCAGGUGGACAGGCUGCAGCAGGAGGCCCAGAAGGCUGAGGAGGCGCUGGCUCUGGCCAGGCUGGCACUGCGGGAACAGACGCAGGAGGGGGAAGAAGAGGCACGUGGGCUUAAGUGCCAGGUCACUGAGCUGCAUGACGUGCUGAUGAAAGACAUGGGCAACAGCAUCCGAGCCGAUGGCCGGUGGCCUCUCGUCAUUGACCCUUCGGGCCAGGCGGCUGCCUUCCUGCGCUACCAGGACACCAACUAUGUGGACACAGUAAACCCGGAGCACCUGAGGCCGGAGGGGAUGCGACUGGCUCUUCCGGGGGCUCUGCGGUGAGGCGGGCAGGGCGUCAGGUACACCCACGCCCCCCCUAG
rnacentral:lncRNA from 1 species